rnacentral:lncRNA from 13 species
CUUGGACUUAAGAUUUCUUGAUUGUUAAUCGAAUGUUAUUAAAUACUACAAAAGAUUAGAUUACAAAAAUGAGAACAACCCAAGGCAAUGUGAGCUCUACAAAGUGAAUUAUAUUGUACACACACACACACACACACACACACACACACCAUCUGAAAAAAUGGGGCUCAUUUUAUUCCUUAUUGUUCCUUAUAGGAGAAGAAUCAAUGAAAGAACAUUAUAGAGAGGUAGAUUUAUGAUCAGUAUAUGGAAGAAUUUUUUUGUUAUUUAAAAAUACCCCCUUCAAAAAUGGGAGGAGUAAAAGAAUUGCCCCAUACUGAAAGUGUUCGAGAAGAAGUUUAGCAGACACUUGUUGAAGAAGUUCUUUGGGAGUGCUGGUGAUCAUGGUAUGCAAGGAAGGAAGGAGAAAGAAGAGCCCUGGUUGGAGUAUAUGACUGAAUUUUUUUUCUUAAGUUUUUGUGAUUUUACCACUUGAAAAUCUUUAGAAAAGAAUAAAUGUUACAGUAGUAAUAUGAAUUUUCAAGAUAAAGAAAUGCACAAACCAAGAUACUUCACAAUUCAACACCAUUUCUACAGGAAAUUUUUAACCCAGAAUUUAGAGGAAGAAUUCAAUUUAUUUGGCUUAAUGGAAAUGCAACAAGACAGAUAAAAUGUAAGCAUGAAUGAAUGAAGAAAAGAAGAUGUAAUGCACAUAGGAUAAUUAUCUAUACAUAAAUUCAUGGUAGCACGUAAUUGUAAGUAAAAUUAGAAAAUAACACAUAUUGUUUGUGAAACAAAAAUGAUUUAGGACUCUUUUAUUAUAAUGUACUAAUAUUUAAAAAGAGGUAUUACUAUUACCAUAUAUUUAAUAAUAGCAUAUAAAAUUAGAGUGAUCUUUGUUUAUCUUUCUUUUUGAGGACAUGGAGAAAGUCAUAGCAUAGAGAAAAGAUCAUAUUGGCCUAAGUUUCCCAGAUUUUUCUUAAGAGCAUGUUAACUACGGUUAUGAUAAGAAAUAUUUGAGAGCAUGGCACUAUUCUAUAAUAUAAAUACUUUCAGCAUACCUACGUAUUUUUCACAUUAGAAUACAUGGAAUCAACAUUUAUGUUGUUUUAUACUUCAUAUUAAAUAUUAUACAUAUGGACAUAUUUUAAAUAACAAAAUUCUAUUGGCACCAAAGAACUUAGGGGAAAAUGGGACACUAACAGAGAGAAAAUGUUUUUGGGAGCACUUUACAAAUUCGAAUGCUGUUCACAGCUAAAGACAAAAACAAAAACAAAAAACAAAAUUAGAACACGACAAAUACAAUAUUUAUGGAUGUACGUGC